UCGUACCAUGGAGGCGCUUGGGUUGUCGCUGACCUUUCCGAAAGGUCGUGCACGCCCGAGCGCUUUCAAUCCAUUUCACCCUUUGUGCAUCACCGCGCGGGGUCUCUUCCGAGAGGCUCGCGUUUUCACACAAAAACUUGAUACAGUGUAGAAUGUUACCUUUUGCGGUCACACGCAAUCAAUA
rnacentral:misc_RNA from 1 species